UUGCUUUCCUGGUAGGGACCCAUCGGCAGUCAGGAGGGUCUAGGUUCCAGGAUGAGGCUAUCCCAUUGCAAUUCGGAUAUGCUGACAACUGCGAUAUGCCCAAAUGCAGGAUACUCGAAUGCAGAAUUUGUUGUAGUGGGAGACUGCGCUUGUGCUCUCCCCUG